GGUCACAGAGAGUCCAGUCCAGUCCCCUCCAGUUCAGUUAUCUUUAUGAUCCCAAAUGGGAAACUUGAUUUGCAGUCAGGGGCACAAACAAGGAAAACAAAAAACAACACAAACACAAAAAUGGUUCCUUCACAUAUAAGAUACAGUAAACAGUAAUAAACAACAUAUAAGAUACAGUAAACAGUAAUAAACAGCAUAUAAGACACAGUAAACGGUAAUAAACAACAUAUAAGAUACAAUAAACAGUAAUAAACAUAUAAGAUACAGUAAACAGUAAAAAACAACAUAUAAGAUACAGUAAACAGUAAUAAACAACAUAAGAUACAGUAAUAAACAUAUAAGAUACAGUAAACAGUAAUAAACAACAUAUAAAAACAGUAAUAGUAAAUAGUGAAAAGUAAAGAGUAAUAGUAAAUAGUAAACAGUAAUAAUGAACAGUAACAGUAAACGGUAAACAGUAAUAGUGAACAGUAAUAGUAAAUAGUGAACAGUAAACAGUAACAGUGAACAGUAACAGCAACAUUAAACAGUAAAAGUAACAGUAAACAGUAAAUAGUAAACAGUAACAGUAAAUAGUAAACAGUAACAGUAACAGUGAACAAUAAAUAGUCAACAGUAAAAGUAAAUAGUAAACAGUAAUAGUAAACAGUAACAGUAAACAGUAAAAGUAAAUAGUAAACAGUACUAGUAAACAGUAACAGUAACAGUGAACAAUAAAUAGUCAACAGUAAAAGUAAAUAGUAAACAGUAAUAGUAAACAGUAACAGUAAACAGUAAAAGUAAAUAGUAAACAGUACUAGUAAACAGUAACAGUAAUAGUAAACAGUAAUAGUGAACAGUAACAGUAAACAGUAACAGUGACAGUAAACGGUAACAGUAAUAGUGAACAGUAACAGUAUACAGUAACAGUGAGCAGUAACAGUAAACAGAAACAGUAACAGUAAACAGUAAACAGUAAACAGUAACAGUAAACAUAAACAGAAACAGUAAACAGAAACAGUAACAGUAUACAGUAACAGUAAACAGAAACAGUAACAGUAAACAGAAACAGUAACAGUAAACAUAAACAGUAACAGUAAACAGAAACAGUAACAGUAAACGGUAACAGUAAACAGUAACAGUAAACAGAAACAGUAACAGUAAACGGUAACAGUAAACAGUAACAGUAAACAGUAACAGUAAAUAGUAAACAGUAACAGUGAACAGUAACAGUGAACAGUAAAUAGUCAACAGUAAAAGUAAACAGUAAACAGUAAUAGUGAACAGUAAAAGUAAAUAGUAAACAGUAACAGUUAACAGUAAAUAGUAAACAGGAAACAGGAAACAGUAAAAUGAAAUAGUAAACAGUAACAGUGAACAGUAAAUAGUCAACAGUAAAAGUAAACAGUAAACAGUACUAGUAAACAGUAACAGUAAACAGUAACAGUAAUAGUGAAUAGUAAACAGUAACAGUAAACAGUAAGGAGUAAGGAGCUUGGUAACUGAAGGCUCUGGCUCCUGUUCUACUUUUAGAGACUAUAGGAACCACAAGUAGCCCAGCAUUCAGAGAACGUAGUGUUCUAGAGGGGUAAUAGGGUACUAUGAGCUCUUUAAGAUAUGAAGGGGCCUGACCAUGAAGAGCUUUAUAGGUGAGGAGGAGGAUUUUAAAUUCUAUUCUACAUUUUACAGGGAGCCAAUGCAGAGAAGCUAGUACAGGAGAGAUGUGAUCUCUUUUUCUAGUUCCUGUCAGUACUCGUGCUGCAGCGUUCUGAAUUAAUUGGAGCGUUUUAAUGGACUUAUUGGGGCAACCUGAUAAUAAAGAGUUGCAGUAAUCCAGCCUUGAAGUAACAAAUGCAUGGAUUAGUUUUUCUGCAUCUGUCUGUGAUAGGAUGUGUCUAAUUUAUGUAAUAUUACGUAAAUGAAAGAAGGCAGUCCUAGAGGUCUGCUUUAUGUGGUAGUUAAAUGACAAAUCCUGAUCAAAGAUAACUUGACUAACUGUAGUAUUUAUUGAAGAUUCAUCGUUAACAUGUACAAACUGCGAACGAUCUGACAAAUAUGACUUAAACCAGCUUAGUGCGGUUCCUUUAAUGCCAAUUUGAUGCUCAAGUCUCUGUAAAAGAAUAUUAUGGUCAAUGGUGUCAAAUGCAGCACUAAGAUCUAAUAAUACAAGUACAGAGACAAGUCCAUUGUCAGAAGCAGUCAGAAGGUCAUUAUUAACUUUAACCAGAGCUGUCUCUGUGCUGUGAUGAACUCUAAAUCCUGACUGAAAAUCCUCAAAUAAACUAUUGUUAUGUAGAAAGUCACACAACUCUUUGGCGACUACUUUCUCCAGAAUCUUAGAGAGGAACGGGAGGUUAGAAAUCGGUCUAUAGUUGGCUAAAACCCCUGGGUCAAGAGUGGACUUUUUAAGAAGGGGUUUAAUUACAGCUACUUUAAAGGACUGUGGUAAAUAUCCUGAUAAUAAAGAAAGAUUAAUCAUAUCCAGUAAAGAAGUGCCAAUUAAGGGAACAACUUCUUUAAGCAGCCUAGUUGGGAUCGGGUCUAAUAGACAGGUUGAUGGCUUCGAUGAAGAAAUGAUUGAAGUUAACUGAUGAAGAUCGAUAGCAGAAAAACAGUCUAAAUAUAUAUCUAAGUUUACAUUAGUAAAAGUCCCUGAACUUGGAGAGCCACUGAUAACCGUUGAUGGCAGUUGGUGAUUAAUUUUUUCUCUGAUAGUAAUAAUUUUAUUAUAGAAGAAGCUCAUGAAGUCAUUGCUACUUAAGUUUAUGGGGAUAUGUGGCUCAAUAGAGCUGUGACUCUCUGUCAGCCUGGCUACAGUGCUGAAGAGGAACCUAGGGUUGUUCUUAUUUCAUUCUAUUAGUGCUGAGUAAUAGGCUCCUCUGGCAUUACGGAGGGCCUUUCUAUAAAUUUUAAGAUUAUCUUGCCAAUUUGAGCGAUAUUCUGAUAAUUUGGAAGAGCGCCAUUUCCUUUCAGAUUUUCUAGCUAUUUGCUUUAACUGGCGGGUUUGGUGGUUAUACCAAGGUGCUAGUCUCCUAUGUUUUAAUAAUUUCCUUUUUAUAGGAGCGAUAGAGUCUAAUGUUGAUCGUAGUGAGCCUGUAGCACUAUCGACAAGAUUAUCAAUUUCAGAGGGACUAAAGUCGUUAUAGGACUCUGUUAAAUUCAGACAUGGCAUUGAAUUAAACACUGAAGGAAUCUCCUCCUUAAAUUUAGCUACAGCACCGUCAGAUAGACAUCUGCUGUAGGAAGUUUUGCCUAAUGGCUUAUAAUCUAAUAGUAUGAAUUCAAAAGUUAUUAAAUAAUGGUCAGAUAGGAAAGGAUUAUGUGGGAAGACUAUUAAAUGUUCAAUAUCAAUGCCAUAUGAUAGAACAAGGUCAAGAGUGUGAUUAAAACAAUGAGUUGGUUUAUUUACACUCUGACAGAAGCCAAUUGAGUCUAUCAAUGAUAUAAAUGCGUUACUAAGGCUGUCAUUGUUAACAUCCACAUGAAUAUUAAAAUCACCUACAAUAAUUACUUUAUCUGAUUUAAGGACUAAACUUGAUAAAAACUCUGAGAAUUCAGAUAUAAAAUCAGAGUACGGUCCAGGAGCGCGGUACACUAUAACAAAUAGAACUGGCUGCAGUGUUUUCCAGUUUGGGUGAGAAAGACUAAGAACAAGGCUUUCAAAUGAAUUAUAAUUUAGUUUAGGUUUAGGGUCCAUUAAAACGCUCGAAUCAUAUAUGGAUGCCACUGAAUGAAUGUGAGUAUUAAUAUGACUGGGGGGGGGUGGAUUCAUUUAGGCUAACAUACUCCUCGUGGGACAACCAGGUCUCAGUAAGACAAAGUAAAUCAAUAUCAUAAUCUGAUAUUAAUUAAUUUACUAAAACAGCUUUAGAGGACAGAGACCUGAUAUUUAACAGCCCACAUUUCAUUCUCUUAUUUUGUGCUACUGAGGAGUUGGUUUUAAUUUUUAUUAGGUUUUUAUGUUGAACUCCUCUUGUUUUUAUUUCUUUAAAUAAUUUAGGUGGUCGGGGGACAGACACAGUCUCUAUGGGGUUUUGGGUGGGUGACUGUUCUAAAGAAAGAGCAGAGAAGUGUGUAAGACAGCAGCUCUGCUUCCUGGUCCUAACUCUGGACUGUCAGGUUUUAGAGAUAAACUUCGCCAUAUUUCUAGAUAAGAGAGCCGCUCCAUCCAAAGUGGGAUGGAUGCCGUCUCUCCUAAUCAGACCAGGUUUUCCCCAAAAAGGCUUCCAGUUAUCAAUGAAGCCCACAUCGUUUGCUGGACACCACCUCGACAGCCAGCGGUGGAAUGACGACAUGUGGCUACAAUGUCAUCACUGGUCACAUUGGGGAGGGGUCCAGAGAAAACUACAGAGUCCGACAUUGUCUUAGCAUAAUUACACACCGACUCCACAUUUAUCUUAGUGACCUCCGAUUGGCGUAAACGGCCAACUUACCGCCGACGUGGAUAACAAUCUUACUGUAUUUACGUUUACCUUUAGCCAGCAGUUUUAAAUAUGAUUCAAUGUCGCCCGCUCUGGCCCCAGGGACACAUUUAACUAUGGCCGCUGGCUUCGCUAACUUCACGUUUCUGACUAUGGAGCUGCCAAUAACCAGAGUUGGUUCCUCAGUGGGUGUAUCGCUGAGUGGGGAAAAUGUAUUAGAAACAUGAAUGGGUUGGUGGUGACCUGUGGGCUUCGCCGUUUUAGUCUUCCUUCGCUCAGUCACCCAGCCUCCCUGUCUUCCCGGCUGCUCGGGAACUACCGGGGGAUCUACAUAUCUAACAGAAGCUACCUUCGGUCACGUGACCAAUCAAUGACCAUCUCUUUGGUCUUUGUUAAUUGGUGUGAUGAGGCCUUUCUUAAAUUAAACUCUCCCAGCCGUCCAGGCUCAGAUUCAUCUUUAUGGAGCAGACUGAUGGUAACAGGGUUUUAGGAUGUGCCUGUCCCCAUGCUGGUAAGGACAAUGUAAAGGGGACACGGACACAGCCCUGAAGAGAGCCAGUAGAAGAGGAGCGCUUACUCUCCCCCUCUGAGACCUGCAGCAUAAAGUCUACAAUCCAGACCACCAAGGUUUCAGCCAGAUUAAAAUCAAAAAGCAGUUCCUCAGCUCAAACAUGUGGCUGAAAAGGGUUGAAUUCAGAUGAGUUAAAAAUAAAAGUCACUAAGAGACAGAGAGGUCCGAGGUCAGAUGUUGAUAUUAAAGGAGGUGUCAGACAAUGAGGUAAACGUAUGUACCGAACAGUCACCUAUUAAGAUCAAUAAUGGUGAUUGGGUGUCUUGCUCACCCGUGUCCUGCUUAUUGUUUAUUAUUUACUGUUGUGGUUGUUGUU